GACGAACGCUGGCGGCGCGCUUAACGCAUGCAAGUCGAACGGAAAGGCCUGCUUUCCCUUGUGGAUUGCGGGUACUCGAGUGGCGAACGGGUGAGUAACACGUGAGUGAUCUGCCCCCAACUUGGGUAUAAGCCUGGGAAACUGGGUCUAAUUCCCGAUAGGACUGCAGGGUGGUGCCUGUGGUGGAAAACGAUUUUCUAGUGGUUGGGGAUGAGCUCGCGGCCUAUCAGCUUGUUGGUGGGGUAAUGGCCUACCAAGGCGGCGACGGGUAGCCGGCCUGAGAGGGUGGACGGCCACAUUGGGACUGAGAUACGGCCCAGACUCCUACGGGAGGCAGCAGUGGGGAAUAUUGCACAAUGGGCGGAAGCCUGAUGCAGCGACGCCGCGUGGGGGAUGACGGCCUUCGGGUUGUAAACUCCUUUCGACCGCGAGGAAGCCACCUGGUUGGAAGGGUGGUGACGGUAGUGGUAGAAGAAGCACCGGCUAACUACGUG
rnacentral:rRNA from 1 species